CUGCAGGAGCAGAUUCCGGGCCGGACCUGUAGCCCGUGGAGAGGAGACCGCGCAGGAGCAGUGAUGCAGAUACUGCCACUUCAAUCUCUAUAUGAAGGUGCAAAGAAAGAAAGAAAGCAUUCCAAGUUCCGGUGCAAAGAAAGAAAGAAAGCACUCCAGGUUCUCAGUUUCCAGAAUGCCAUCCACUGGAAACUACCUCUCCACCCCAGAAGCUGCAAGUAGCAUGAAGAGACCUGUGCUCUGACCAACUUUUGUCAUUUUAACUGCCAUCUCUUUUUGGCCAUUUACCAGCCUUCUUGUAGAAUGAAUACCAGGCGCAAAUAACUCCUGGUUACACCUCACUGCAGAUCUCAUAUAAAGGAACUUCAUUAAACUGUAAAAUAGCCUUACUAAUAAUUAAAAUUAAGGGACAUGGAUCUUUAAAAUAAUGUUAAACCUUUAACAUGUACAGGUGCAAAACAUUACAGUAUAUUUGAAUAUAGCAAUCGUAGAAUCAAAGAACCACAGAACAGCUUGGGAUGGAAGGGACCUUAAAGAUCACCCAGUUCCAACCCCCUGACAUAGGCAGGAACACCACUCGCUAGAUAAGGUUGCUCAGGUUGUCCAACCUGGUCUUGAACACCUCCAGAGAUGGGGCAUCCACAACUUCUCUGGGUAACCUGUUCCAGUGCCACACUACCCUCUGAGUGAAGAAUUUCCUCCUGGCAUCUAAACUAACUCUUUCUUAUUUUAGUUUAAAGUUGUUAAAAAGCUUUUAAUGCACCAGAUACUUGAAUAAGGUUCCUGGCAAACAAAUGGCAAAAUAAAACCAAGUGAGGUCUAUGUUCACCUGCUAUUCUGGGUGGAAAAUAAUCCCUUUGGUAGUUCCCUUCUCAGAGAUCUCCCUUAGAUUGAGGUUCUGACUUGUGCAAUUUACAGUUACAGCAUUUUUUUUACUGACAAUUCAAGACUUCAGCACUGGACACUGUAGCAUAUUCAUCACAGUGUCCAUGUCUGCUGGCAUACAGCUAGCCAUGCAGUCCAGCCAACCUUAUAUUGAGCACAUUUGAGUUAAUGUGGUUUGACAGCUUGGCUGCCAAGUAUUGCAGUCAUAAACCCUCAUCCAAACUGUGAUAAGUGAAAAAGACUAACUGGAUCCAGCUCCAGACACAAACCAUUUGUCUCCACAGGAUAUAUUUCAACCUUCAGGAUAGCACAGUUGCAGAGAACAGAAGCAUGAGCAUGUAUACAAUUGCCAUACACUGUAAGCUGAAAUGUAUAUGUACGUGAUUUUACAAAGCUUCCACUUCACCAAAAUAGUGAUUGAGAGUCAGUCCAGCUAUGUUGGUAAAAAUCAAUGUGCAAAACCAGGAUGAGACUGACAAGUAGAAAGAGAGGAACCUACAGAGCUACCCAUUUAUGGUUCAGUGCAGACAGAUAGCCCAGCAAUUGGUAUUUAUUUGGUGUUUAACUAAACUAUGUGACUUUUUCUUGCCUGAAGGAGUGGAUUGGGUAAUGCAUGUGAAUAAUUCCUUUCCUAGGAUUUAGCAACAGAAUACAAACUACCUUCCUUGUGGUAUUUUAAACCUUCUGCUACUCACACUUGCUAUAUGUUCUUGCUAUAUGGAAGUAUUUGCUCUGAUGAAAGAAUGUAGUGCUUUUUUUCGUGUGUGCUUUUUUUUUUUUUUUGCCUUUAUUUUUUUUUUCCCAGGGUGUCCUACUCUGUCUUGUCCCCUGAAAUUUCUUACCAAAAUUCCGGUGUACAAAUUUCUGUACCUACAGGUGCACUGAGCCACAAGUGUUUUGUCUGUGGCAUCUCUGCUAAGAACUGUUUAAUGCAUGAUUAACUUCAUAAUUUUUAUUUUUACAUUCUUAACAUGUAAUACCAAUGGAAGAAGGACACGGUGAAAGAGUUUUUAAAAAAUUAAUUCUAUCUGAUUUUUUAAAAGCCAGCAUGAAUUAUAUAUUUCAUAAUUAAUGCUUCCUUCACAUAAUUCUAGCAGUGAGUGCAAGAGGGGAGUUCCCUUCACCUCCUCAACAUUCCUUCUUCCAGAGGCUGACUAUAUCCCAGGCUUAACAUUCAAAUUUCUUCCUGCUGCAAUACGUUUUUUAUUAAACAUCUGUCUGCAUGGGGACAGGGAUUAAGUGCUGAUAUUCUCCUGCAUUCAUUCCUGCUGCUUUUGUACACAUUUUAAACGGAAAAAAAAAAUGCAAUUCUAUUUUUCUAUUUUGAUGGUAAAGAAAGGAGACCGUACACAUAGAACUGGCCAUUAUUGAUAUCAAAGAAAUAAAUAUCGCUGAGUUGCUUUCUGUCUUGUGAUUCUGUCCAUAAGAAUAUCUAACUUCAACAACAACCCUAAUUUUGUCAGUCUUUUAGGUCUUCAAGUAAGCUCAAAUCAAACCAUUUUCUACUGAACUGCUGCUGGUCUCUCCAGCUUCUGACUGCCUUCUGCAGUCCAAUCAGACCCACAGUGCAGUCAAACAGCCUUAACCAACAGAUAUACAAAGUGCUACCAUGUUUGUGAUGAAGUAAUAUGUCAAUUAAAACUAGUUGAUUUUGUUUAGUAACACAAAUAGUUCUUUCAACAAUAUCAAUGGAACUAAUUGAUUUUUUUUCUUUAUGUAAUUUCAAAUUACAAUUUUAGUAUAUAGCAAAAAUAAUUAAAUUUAGACUUGAAUUUAGGAUCCCUCUGAUGUGAUUCCUUUUUUUUUUUUUUUUCCUCUGCUUCUUCGGGAAAAGAAGGAUGGAGUUACAAGAGAGGAGGAGUAUUCUGUUUUGUCUCUUCCUAUUCCAUUUAAUGGCAGACAGAAGGUACAACCUAAUCUUUGUAGUCUUCAGGGCCAAGGGUACUUCUGCUGUCAUAUCUAUGUCUUCACCAGAACAGCCCUUACAUUCUGGUGUUAUUAAAGGUAGACAUUUCAGGAGAAUGACAGGCAGCUGUGCAGUCAUCAGUGCCCUUGAGCUCAAGAGCAAGUCACUCUGGCCCAGGAUGUAGCAGCAAUGAGUAAAACAAUACAUACUCCAUGUGCAAUACUCUGAGAAGGAAUCCACAUUCAAAUGUAAACUCUUUAAAUUAAUCAAGUGAUUUCUUUGGCACUAUAAUACCAGGAAGGCAAAGUUACAGUCCAUGAGGAUGUUUGUGCAGACUUUUCUGGGGAAAGACAUCAAGAAGAUUCAACAAGACAAGUUUAUAAUAAGCAGCAUGUGGUAUGGAUCCACUCUACAAUCUUGAUGACAAAUUUUCAUUACAGCAACUACUAUCCCUAUUCAUAUGAAGUGAUGCCAAAAAAGCAGUAGCCUUCCAGAAUAAUAACUAUAAUAACUGGCUUUAGAAGUGAAGAUUUAAUGGGCUACUUUGUAACGCAAAACUGAAAUGUUAAAACUCUACAAGUAUAUUUCACAAAUCCACAAAAUAAAAAAAAAAAAAA